AUCAAGAAAGAAAAUUUCCAUUCUUCUGCAAAUAAUCAGUUGAAUUUUGCAAUUUGCAUUCAACUGCUUGUGCUUUCACUUGUGGGUCUUAAUUAGGAUCACUAUUGCAUCUUGUAGACAGCCAGACUAUUAGUAUAUUUGGUAGCUUGCCACCAUAUUUGGCAGCCUGGCAGAAUCACAAAAAAAAAAAAAAGAUAAAAAAUAAGCCUAUUUAAAAGUCAGUAAAGCCAACAUCCUUUCAGAAAGCUUUAAUCUAGGUUUCCAUAUGCUGUACCUUUCUGAGGAUAAGAAUUAAUUCUCAUCUUACUGCUCUCUUUCCAUCUUUCAGAGCAUUCUCCUCUGAAAACUAUUUCAGGAGAAAAACUCAUUUUUUUCAUCUGUUGGCCUGGAUACUGAUUAUCAUUUCCAGAUUCUAUUGCCGUCUAUACUCAAAUUAAAUGAGAA
rnacentral:lncRNA from 1 species